GAGAUGUAAAAGGGCAAUAUUUAUGUAAAUAUAUAUUCCAGUUUGAAGCCAUAAAAGACUUUGCUGGCCGCCAUUUCACAUUAAAAAGCAGCAGCAACAACCAGGAAUUUGUUUCCCUUUGAAUCUACCGCUCAGCAGCAGCUGAUUCGUCACAUGAUCAUGAUGUCAUCGGGGUUCAUUCAGAGGAGUGGAAGUUAAUCAGACCGUACCAUUCCGACAUAUACAGUGUUUGAAGCCCUAAAACUUCAAACGGAGAUGCAAGAGCAGCAGCUUCAAAGCGGCAAACACAAAAAAAAAAAGAUAUGCUACUGCUUUAUUCUACUUUUCCUGUAUCGUCUCUAUACAUAAUGCAAAAGCACAUUUCCCCUCCCCUUUAGAAAAUGGUACAGCCCGGCCUUGUGACAGGGAAGAGCUGCGAGCAACUUCCUUCCUUUCUGCUCAUAGUGAGUGUGGAGGAUGGAGCUGCGCUGUGACUACACGUGGGCUGAUGAGCCGCUCUGUGACCAUGAGGUUACUUUGUAUGACACGGGGCUCCCGACGGUGCCUCCCACUGGGCCCCAACUGUAUGGAGGGGCCACAGAUCUGAUCCUUACUUGAGAAACGCCGAGGUGAUGGAAACUAUCCGUUGCAGUGUAUUUGCCCCUCCCGUACAGACACCGAGAGGAUAAUGUCUUUCCAAACUGAGAGGUCCCACCCCUCUGAAAGAGGAAUGUUCAAGGUCAUGCCACAGUUGAAUGUCAGUCGCAGUUGUCCCCAGUUGUUGCAGUUUGACCUUUGUCCCAGAAGUCGAGUCAGUUGGUGAUGCUUGAGAGUUGUAGUUUGACACCUGGAAGAUGGUAGUUGCUCACUCCAGAUGCUCUCACAGUAAAGGCUCCUUCCAGAUCUCCAUUUGAGACCCCCCAUUGUGGAAUAUGUUAAUGCUUUAUCAAUAAAAGUUACAUUGGUGGCUCCUGUUUCAACAAGUCCUUCAAGAAGUUUCCCUACUUUUUAAUCUCCCUACUCCUCGGGCACCAAAACGUUAAUGUUGUGACUUAUACCUCUUUCUCCUUUAUGUAAGUUCUAUAAUGCAGGUUCCUUCUUACUUUCUGUAAAGAUUAUCAGUUUGCUGAAUAUACCCAUCUGUUGUACAGCACUGCAGACUAUGUUGGUACUUUAUAAAUACAGGCCAAUAAUAAUUAGCCUGUAUUGUUCUUUUCUAGUCCUCUGUUUUCUUGUAUGUCAAUAAAGUAUAAUGUUAUCUA